UACGUAGGGGGCGAGCGUUGUCCGGAAUCAUUGGGCGUAAAGCGCGUGUAGGCGGCUUGGCAAGUCCGAUGUGAAAGCUCGAGGCUCAACCUCGAGUCUGCAUUGGAAACUGCUUUGCUAGAGUCCGGAAGAGGGGACUGGAAUUCCUGGUGUAGCGGUGAAAUGCGCAGAUAUCAGGAAGAACACCGGUGGCGAAGGCGGGUCCCUGGGACGGUACUGACGCUGAGACGCGAAAGCGUGGGGAGCAAACAGG
rnacentral:rRNA from 1 species